ensembl:lncRNA
CCUUGUAUAGGCGUCGUCCCCGUAUGGAGCUGAUGAGUUUUGAUUUCUGUUUUCUGUAGAGUUUCCAGUCUCUCUGAGCACAACCUGAAUCUACAGACGUAAAUGAUGAUCCCUUUAUUUCUCUCGUCUCUUCUGAUGGUCUGAGAGAAUCUGUCCAUCAGCUGAGAGACAAACUGGAUGAUUUCUGCAAAGAUGAGCUCAAGAAGAUCUCAGGCAGAGGUGGUGUUGGCAGAGGCGUUGGAGCACACGGGUGACAUGGCCACGGUGUUCUUCUAGAUUUGAAGCAGCUGAAGGAGACGCAGAAGACGCUCCAGCAGAGAAUCCAGCAGAGAGAGAAAGAUCUCCAGCAGCUGAGAGAGACUGUGGAGUCUCAUAAGCGCUCUGCACAGACAGCAGUGGAGGAC